UACAGAGGGUGCGAGCGUUAAUCGGAUUUACUGGGCGUAAAGGGCGCGUAGGCGGUGAUAUGUGAAUGGUGUGAAAGCCCCGGGCUUAACCUGGGAAGUGACAUCGUUGACUAUAUGACUGGAGUAGAUGAGAGGGUGGUGGAAUUUCCGGUGUAGCGGUGAAAUGCGUAGAGAUCGGAAGGAACGUCGAUGGCGAAGGCAGCCACCUGGCAUCAUACUGACGCUGAGGCGCGAAAGCGUGGGGAGCGAACAGG
rnacentral:rRNA from 1 species